CCUACGGGUGGCAGCAGUGAGGAAUAUUGGUCAAUGGACGCAAGUCUGAACCAGCCAUGCCGCGUGCAGGAAGACGGUUCUAUGAGUUGUAAACUGCUUUUGUACGAGGGCAAACGCAGAGACGCGUAUCUGGCUGAAAGUAUCGGAAGAAUAAGGAUCGGCUAACUCCGUGCCAGCAGCCGCGGUAAUACGGAGGAUUCAAGCGUUAUCCGGAUUUAUUGGGUUUAAAGGGUGCGUAGGCGGUCGGGUAAGUUAGAGGUGAAAUCCCGAGGCUCAAAUUCGGCAUUGACUGUGAUACUGUUCGGCUAGAGAGUAGUAGAGGUAGGCGGAAUGUAUGGUGUAGCGGUGAAAUGCUUAGAGAUCACACAGAACACAGAUUGCGAAGGCAGCAUACCAGGCUCCUUCUGACGUUGAGGCACGAAAGCGUGGGGAGCAAACAGGAUUAGAUACCCCUGUAGUC
rnacentral:rRNA from 1 species